GCUUACACAUGCAAGUCGAGCGCCCUUUAGGGGGAGCGGCAGACGGGUGAGUAACGCGUGGGAAUCUACCUUUUGCUACGGAAUAACGCAGGGAAACUUGUGCUAAUACCGUAUGUGUCCUUCGGGAGAAAGAUUUAUCGGCAAGAGAUGAGCCCGCGUUGGAUUAGCUAGUUGGUGGGGUAAAGGCCUACCAAGGCGACGAUCCAUAGCUGGUCUGAGAGGAUGAUCAGCCACAUUGGGACUGAGACACGGCCCAAACUCCUACGGGAGGCAGCAGUGGGGAAUAUUGGACAAUGGGCGCAAGCCUGAUCCAGCCAUGCCGCGUGAGUGAUGAAGGCCCUAGGGUUGUAAAGCUCUUUCACCGGAGAAGAUAAUGACGGUAUCCGGAGAAGAAGCCCCGGCUAACUUCGUGCCAGCAGCCGCGGUAAUACGAAGGGGGCUAGCGUUGUUCGGAAUUACUGGGCGUAAAGCGCACGUAGGCGGAUCGAUCAGUCAGGGGUGAAAUCCCAGGGCUCAACCCUGGAACUGCCUUUGAUACUGUCGAUCUGGAGUAUGGAAGAGGUGAGUGGAAUUCCGAGUGUAGAGGUGAAAUUCGUAGAUAUUCGGAGGAACACCAGUGGCGAAAGCGGCUCACUGGUCCAUUACUGACGCUCAGGUGCGAAAGCGUGGGGAGCAAACAGGAUUAGAUACCCUGGUAGUCCACGCCGUGGACGAUGAACGUUAGCCGUCCGGCAGUAUACUGUUCUGUGGCGCAGCUAACGCACUAUACAUUCCCCCUGCGGAGUACGGUCGCCAGAUUAAAACUCAAAUGAAAUGACAGGGGCGCGCACACACGGUGGAGCACGUGGUUUAUUUAGGAGCAAC
rnacentral:rRNA from 1 species